AACGACUGGAUUAUUCAGGUUUAAUUCUAACUAACUUCUUGACACGUACUUCAAGAAAACAGGAUAUUCACAAACGUUACAGACCAGUUGUAUGGUAUACUGAUAAACAUUGUAUGGUGGAGUGGAAUGGAAUGAUUCAAGAAUUGACCAGUAUAAAUGGUACUGUAGGCUUUUGAAGGAAUUUGCAACGGAAACAUUUACAGUAAAUGGAAUGCCAGCACCAAUAUAUGUAGCGAAGAGAAUGGCUUAUUCCCAGGAAGAUGACAAUUUCGGUAUGGUUGAAAUGAAGGACUUGUUGGUGCCACUUUGUAACACCGCCUAUCUUCUAAACUGUCAGACACCAGCCAAUGCUGUCAUAAAAGAAAAGAAACCAGACUUUGACGUU